rnacentral:rRNA from 1 species
UCUGCGGCCGAUUAGGUUGUUGCUGGGGUAACGGCCCAACAAGCCUGUAAUCGGUACGGGUUGUGGGAGCAAGAGCCCGGAGAUGGAUUCUGAGACAUGAAUCCAGGCCCUACGGGGCGCAGCAGGCGCGAAAACUUUACAAUGCGGGAAACCGUGAUAAGGGGACACCGAGUGCCAGCAUCCUAUGCUGGCUGUCCGGGUGUGUAAAAUACACCUGUUAGCAAGGGCCGGGCAAGACCGGUGCCAGCCGCCGCGGUAACACCGGCGGCCCGAGUGGUGAUCGUGAUUAUUGGGUCUAAAGGGUCCGUAGCCGGUUUGGUCAGUCCUCCGGGAAAUCUGACAGCUUAACUGUUAGGCUUUCGGAGGAUACUGCCAGACUUGGAACCGGGAGAGGUAAGAGGUACUACAGGGGUAGGAGUGAAAUCUUGUAAUCCCUGUGGGACCACCUGUGGCGAAGGCGUCUUACCAGAACGGGUUCGACGGUGAGGGACGAAAGCUGGGGGCACGAACCGGAUUAGAUACCCGGGUAGUCCCAGCCGUAAACGAUGCUCGCUAGGUGUCAGGCAUGGCGCGACCGUGUCUGGUGCCGCAGGGAAGCCGUGAAGCGAGCCACCUGGGAAGUACGGCCGCAAGGCUGAAACUUAA